rnacentral:rRNA from 1 species
UUGGGUGUCUCUAGCGGUGGGGAUCACCUCUUCCCAUUUCGAACAGAGUAGUUAAGGCCACCAGCGCAGAUGGUACUGGGCACAACCCGGGAGAGUAUGUCGAUGCCCGAA